GACUUGUUGGCGCACUCGGCAGCGCACCUAUAAUAACUCUGCAAGUUAGCCUCCGAAGACAGUAUAUGAGAGGCCCUAGUUCGACUCUGGGAUGGGUCG